rnacentral:lncRNA from 1 species
UUUGGUAAUAGUAGCUCCAGCAACUAUCGGCACGCCAAAUAUGUACUACAGAAAAUAAAAAGGACGCAAGGGUGAGCAAGUUCACAAAGAAGCACAUUUGCUUUUUCCUUGAGUAGAAGAGAUUUUAUCCAAAUCUCUAGUAUCUAAAAGCUCAGAGCUUAUAUAUACGACUCUCUUGUAUGCUAAUACAAAUGAAUUAUUAGUACCAAUAGAAAAAUACUAUCUACAAGCAACACUAAAAACUUGGAGACUCAAAUGAUGAAAGAUCUUAUCAAGUUUCAUCUUCAUGAUUAUCCCAAGUUGGAGGUUAACUUUAACUGGCAGUAAGAAUUGGGAAAUUUCACUCAAUAUUUGACAGCAAACUUCAGAAUAGUUCGAGUUGAACCAGGUUCUAGCUUCUAACUCUCAAUUUCAAGUGGGAAAAGAAAAAGGGAACACAAUGAGGUAAACCAACAACAAGGCUUUCGAAAUCCUGCACAAUUAUCUAGCAAAUGUGAGUCCCAAUUCUAAUUCACAAAAAAAGGUAUUCAGAAACUAAUGUUAUGACCUGUAGGCUAAUCUUCACCCUAUGCAAAUUUCUAGUGGAGACAUAAAUCACACACCAUUUGAGUUUUUUAAACAAACAAAAGAAACUAAAGAGUACCAAUUGAACUCAAGGAAUAAAGAAAGCUACAUUCAUCACAUACAGAACUUAGCUAAAUUUUCCCACAAAGAAAUAAAAAAGACAAAAUCCAAAAGGUACCAAAUUCAACUGGAGUAAAAGAAGUUCCACUCACUACCAAGCUUAGCUAAAAUUUUCAAACCGAAAUAAAAUAUAUAGAAUACCAAAAUUGAACACGCUAACAGCAGUAGAACGAAUAGAAACCCACAUAGCGGAUAUGAAGAAAGAAUCGAAUUUUAUGAUCUUUAUAGCAAAAAAAAAAAUUGAUCCCUAUAAGACCAUGUAAAUUGUCAGAUCAGCAGCAAUAAUUACCUGUGGUGUGGCAGCUGAAGCUUGAAAAUGGGAUAUGAGAUGUGAAUUACAAUAUGCAGGGAUAAGAAAUGGGAAAAAUCAGAGAGAGAAAGUUAAAAAAUAUUCCUUUCUCUUUCGUCGAAGUGAAAAAUCCUUUGGACGGGAAGAAAAAAUAGGAAUCCAAUUCUUUAUCGACGCUAAAAAGCCCUCCUUUAAUUUUCUUCCGGUCAACGACUCUGACUCGGCGACACAACUCGCCGGUGCAUUGGAAUGUCUCUUUUGCCCCUAUUCUCUAUUCGAAUUCAAUUUUUU